rnacentral:lncRNA from 1 species
UUAGAGCUGACAUGGAAUGUGAGAGUUGUAACAAUUUUAUAAUAAAGUAGAAUACUUUCUAUUUCGAUUAUAUAUAGAAUCAAGAUAGAAAGUGAGACUGGCGAUAAUUUUGAAAUAAAGUAGAAGAUUUUUUAUGCUAAUUAUACCUAAAAUAAACACAAAAAAUAUACUAUUUUAAAUUUAGAAAAUAAACGCUACGUUGAUUUUUCAUUAUAACUGAUAUAGAAUUUUUAAUUUUCUUCUUCUCCUUUUCCUCCUCGCGCUGCACUUUAUUGUUUUUAUCGCAUUGCUCUCCUCCCUCACACUAUUUUUCUCCGUCGCACUAACUCUCAUCUUCUUCUUUCACUGUACUUGGUUGUCUCUCUCCUCUUCUCUUUUGCUGGUGGCUACUUCCGUUCUCGUAAAGGUCAAGCUUUGGCUGUUAUCGUUCUCACUAUAGUCAAUUUUGAAUCUUAAUAUGUUAUUUUGUUGAGUCUGUUAUCAGUAUUUAUUGGGACAAU